CAAAUUGUGGCUAAAUUAGCAAAGCACCUCCCUUACACUGAGGAGAUAUCCGUGCAACUCGGAUCAUUUUGA
rnacentral:tRNA from 1 species